rnacentral:misc_RNA from 1 species
UGUGAUUGAGAGGAAGAUUUGAAGAUCGCGGCUCCUUGAUUGGCCACAAGGAAUCCUGAGGUGCAGAAGAUGGUAUAAGAUGUUGAUAAUUAUUUUCUGAUGAUUGAAUACCCAUUUUUCGGUGAUCCAUCAAAAGUCUCNNNGUUUUCCUCGUCACCUCCAGCUGGUGCCCAAAUAAUAGAGUUUGUCGCAACUUCUGAAAACUUACUCUGCUGCUGAGUUUCAAAAUGCAAUUGUUGCAUCCCUCCUUCAAUCCAACUCUUCUCCAACUGCCCAUUUUUUCCAGUAUGGUACCCAAUUGCUUGUUGGUGAGAACCAUAAAAAUCAUCUGAAAUUUGCUGACACAGGAAAGGAUUACCAGAAGAGGCAGAACCUAGUUGGUCAGCAGGCUGCAUAUAGAGAUGUUCUGUUAAAUCAGGAUCUUGAGGAUGAUCAUUUACAUUAUCCAACUUCAUCCCAGGGGUGACACCAGGAAGAGACAUUGAACUCUCAAAUUC